UACGGAGGGUGCAAGCGUUAUCCGGAUUCACUGGGUUUAAAGGGAGCGUAGGUGGGAUGGUAAGUCAGUGGUGAAAUCUCUGAGCUUAACUCGGAAACUGCCAUGGAUACUAUCCGUCUUGAAUGCGGUGGAGGUGAGCGGAAUAUGUCAUGUAGCGGUGAAAUGCUUAGAUAUGACAUAGAACACCGAUUGCGAAGGCAGCUCGCUACACCUGCAUUGACUCUGAGGCACGAAAGCGUGGGGAUCAAACAGG
rnacentral:rRNA from 1 species